AUUGAACGCUGGCGGCAGGCCUAACACAUGCACUUCGAGCGAGCGGCGGACGGGUGAGUAAUGUAUGGGGACUGCCCGAUAGAGGGGGAUAACUACUGGAAACGGUGGCUAAUACCGCAUACUAUCGGAUAACCCAUAUUGGAUUAGCUAGUAUGUGUGGGAAAGGCUCACCUAGGCGACGAUCUCUAGCUGGUCUGAGAGUGUGAUCAGCCACACUGUGACUGAGACACGGCGCAGACUCCUACGGAGGCGUCAGUGGGGAAUAUUGCACAAUGGGCGCAAGCCUGAGUCAGCCAUGCCGCGUGUAUGAAGAAGGCCUUAGGGUUGUAAAGUACUGUCAGCGGGGAGGCGUUACCCACAGAAGAAGCACCGGCUAACUCCGUGCCAGCCGCCGCGGUAAUUC
rnacentral:rRNA from 1 species